UACGGUGGGGGUAAGCGUUGUUCGGAAUUACUGGGCGUAAAGGGCUCGUAGGCGGCCAACUAAGUCAGACGUGAAAUCCCUCAGCUUAACUGGGGAACUGCGUCUGAUACUGGAUGGCUUGGAUCCGGGAGAGGGAUGCGGAAUUCCAGGUGUAGCGGUGAAAUGCGUAGAUAUCUGGAGGAACACCGGUGGCGAAGGCGGCAUCCUGGACCAACACUGACGCUGAGGAGCGAAAGCCAGGGGAGCAAACGGG
rnacentral:rRNA from 1 species